GGGAGUUUGAUCAUGGCUCAGGAUGAACGCUAGCGGCAGGCUUAACACAUGCAAGUCGAGGGGUAGUAUAGCAAUAUAUGAGACCGGCGCACGGGUGCGUAACGCGUAUGCAAUCUACCUUUUACAGGGGAAUAGCCCAGAGAAAUUUGGAUUAAUGCCCCAUGGUAUAAUUGAUUGGCAUCAAUUAAUUAUUAAAGUUCCAACGGUAAAAGAUGAGCAUGCGUCCCAUUAGCUAGUUGGUAUGGUAACGGCAUACCAAGGCGAUGAUGGGUAGGGGUCCUGAGAGGGAGAUCCCCCACACUGGUACUGAGACACGGACCAGACUCCUACGGGAGGCAGCAGUGAGGAAUAUUGGACAAUGGGCGCAAGCCUGAUCCAGCCAUGCCGCGUGCAGGAAGAAGCAUCUAUGGUGUGUAAACUGCUUUUAUACAGGAAGAAACACUCCCUCGUGAGGGAGCUUGACGGUACUGUAAGAAUAAGGACCGGCUAACUCCGUGCCAGCAGCCGCGGUAAUACGGAGGGUCCAAGCGUUAUCCGGAAUCAUUGGGUUUAAAGGGUCCGUAGGCGGUUUAAUAAGUCAGUGGUGAAAGCCCAUCGCUC
rnacentral:rRNA from 1 species